UCCCCGGUGAUGUAAGGGCAACAUUCUUGACUGUUAAUCAAGCCAUCCUGGUUCGAAUCCAGGCCGGGGAG
rnacentral:tRNA from 1 species